rnacentral:rRNA from 1 species
UACAGAGGUCCCAAGCGUUGUUCGGAUUCACUGGGCGUAAAGGGUGCGUAGGUGGCGGGGUAAGUUGGAUGUGAAAGCUCCGAGCUUAACUCGGGAAAUGGCAUUCAAAACUACCUUGCUAGAGGGUUGGAAGGGGGACUGGAAUUCUCGGUGUAGCAGUGAAAUGCGUAGAUAUCGAGAGGAACACCAGUGGCGAAGGCGAGUCCCUGGACAACUCCUGACACUGAGGCACGAAAGCUAGGGGAGCAAACAGGAUAGAUACCCCGUGU